ACUUGAAGUAGUGAGUCAGUUUCUUGCCCCACUAAGUGCUAAAUUAUUUAGCGCUACUGAAACAGCCCCAACAGGAGAUUUGUCUCCUUAAACCAAAAGGUCUGAGUUGUAUGUGCAGCACUUGGGUUUCAAGCUCCUGCUUUGAAUUCCUGAAACAGCAUUCUGGUAGUGCUGCUGCCCCUGGGCUGUUAGCAGGCUAGCUUUCUGCAUUUUCCCACUGAAUUUUGUAUACAGGUGAGGCAUUAGAAUUAGAUUUCCAAUUCCCAAAAGUUUUUCAGGAAACAUAAUUCUCCUGCUCCACCAGCCCUGUCUUCCAGGUUGUUAUGGCUAACAGAGACCAUUCCAUUCUCAAGGCUGAUAUAAGACAACAGAGGGGAGAAACAUAUAGCCAGCAUAGGCUGUACGGAUGUGACUUCCCCAUUGGGAACUUGAGGUGGGAAUAAAGUCUGGUAUAAAGUGUAUCUUUAUUAAACUUCUGUACAUUCUUGCUUUCCUAAAUGUGACUUGCUUGUCACCUGACGUGACUGAAUAUGUCCUGAUCAUCAACAUCCCUGAGGAAACCAACCAGCCAUCAGAUUGGGAUGCCUGAAGAUGUCUUCUAGGACUUUUGGAUGGGAGUAACUAAGGGGCUGGAGUUACCAUCCAGGAAGAGACUGAAGCAGUCAGUGCCAGAUGCUUCAGUUCUGGUGCCAGCUAAUGCACGCCAUAAUGGAAGCCAAAAUCAGGAAUGUUUACAACCAGGGAUCACACAACUGCAUUGAUGGGUUAGACGACGAUAUGGGAGGUACACGCCACAGGCCACCCUAUGGUUUUACCUGCGGGAUCACGGAGAAGACAUGAGAAAGUGGGAUGGAAAACCUACUUCAGCUCUGGAGCAACGGGUGCGUGAGCUGAAGAGGAGAACAAUGGUCAAGGAUGAUCCU
ensembl:lncRNA